AGAUAAUUUAAAUAGUUUUCUAACGCAACUUAAUAGAGUGAUUCAAACUUCAUAUAAAAAGUUAUGCAUUAAAAUACGAAAUUUGCUCAGUGAUAAAAUAAGUUUGGGACUUAUGCGAAUUCAAUUUUCAAAAUACGUAUAAAUACAAUAAUUUUGGUAUUUGAGGGUUUAGAUAUGAUAAACCUAUGCUUUAAGAAUAAUAUUAAACAGAAUAAAGAUUAAAGAAAAGAAAAGAUUUAGAUUUUACCACCUAGGAAUAUCGGAGUGUUUCGAUUUGGAUCCUUUGUUCUUCUUCUUCUUUUUUUUUUUCCUCUGAACUCUCUCUUUUUAUUCUCUCUUUCUCAAAGUUUUCCUUCUCUCUUAGCCUUUCUCUGUAUCCCUCUCUUUCUCUCUUUCUCCUAUUCUCUCUUUUAUUUCUUGCUUAUACAUAUAAAAACUUCCAUGUGGUCAUCAUACACCACAUGCACCGUACACCACAUACACACUCACACCCACACACAUGCACUAUACUCAUUCUCUUCUUCCACCGAAAGCAAAUAUUUUUUGUCUCCUUAUUCCAAUUUACUCUACUUAAUUAUACUUUUGUCCUUCCCAUUCAAUUUAAAUGUCCUCUUUUAAUUUUAUCCGCAAGUUAUAACUCUUUCAAUUUAACCCCAAAAGUUCUAUAAUGCCUUAAUUUAAUUCUAAAAUUUUAUUUCUCUAAUAAGGUAAAGAAGACUUAAGGACGGGCUAUUACAAUAAACAAUUGAAACCUUGAUGCAUGUAGUUGACUCAUGGACCAAUUUACACACCAGUCUGCAAUGAGUUCAGUCUAGAUCACCAAACAAGAUAAUGCAUCACGGAGAGGGAGGCGUCUUAUUGGUAUAUUUAGGGUUGAUAGUAACAAUAGUAUGUUUAACAAUUAUAUUUUAAAUUCUUAUAUAAUUAUUUAUAUUAUAUAUAUUAUAUAUAUAUAUAUAAUAUAUAUAUAUAUAGAUAUAUAUAUAUUCAAAUCUCACGGUCCAGUUCGGUUAUCUACGGUUUAUUAUGAUAAUCCAUGGACCGAACUGCGAAUUGCGAUUUUUUAAUUUUUCAAUCUAUGUCCGUAUCUCCACGGACUCAAUAAAAAACCUACGGAUCGAUUCGAUUCGGUUCGAUUUUGCGGAUUUGUUUUUGACAGCCCUAACAACAAAUACCCAUGUCACAUUUUUAGUUAUCUUAGAGAUGUAUGUUUUUAUUUGUCAUUUUAAUAAGGACACAACUUUUAUGAAGUCUAAUGUUUUGAUUACACAUUGUAGUUUAAGUAUUUUGAGUUUUAUUUUGAGCUUAUUUUAAUGAUUCAAAUCGUAUAUUUGGUAGAACUUAUUAAAAAAAUUAAUAGUAUAAAAAUUACGUUGAACAAAUACAAAUCAAUAGCCGAUCAAUGUUCAUUUAUAUAAAGAUAAAUUAGUAUAAUCUUAUGUAUCACACUCAUUUAUAAAGAUAUAAAAGAGUACUGAACAAAUAUUAAUUUAUAUCCGAUAAAUAUAUCUUUUUACGAUAUUAAUUUUCAUAAUGGAGUAUAUAAUAUAAAUGAUUUGGAUCUUCAAAAUGGGACUCAAAAUGCUUGAACUGUAAUGUACAAUUCAAAAAUUUGGACCCAGAAAAGCCUCAUCCUUUUAAUAAUUGGUAGCCACACCUACAUAGGGAUGGGCAUGGUAUGAAUUUUUACAGGUUUUCCAAAAUCCAGACUAGACCCGCACUUAUUUCUCCAUGCCCUGAACCCGCCAAGCUGCAUUUAUUUUUUCAUUUUUUUUAAUAAAAUCCGGUUUUUAUAUAAAAUGGAGACAUCUAACCAUUUUUAUGAAUAUAUAUUAUAAUAUAUUAAUGCAUUUGUUGUUGAUUUUAUGAAAAUAUAUUAUAAUAUAUUAAUGCAGCGGUUGUUAUAGUUGUCAAUUUGCCAAGGUUAGAAAUUUAGAAGUUGGAAAAUAAAAGGUAGGAUUUUAAAGGAAUAUAUAUUAAUAAUUUAAUAUAUUAUUAUACAUACGGGUCUAGUUCGGGUUGAGAAAUGUAUAUCUCCAGCUGGACCCGAAUCUGCUACGAGCCAAAGAAUUUAAAUUUGAUUUCGAUCCGUUAUUCUUUAGGGUUAAAAAACUCGACCCAUACAUAAAUACGAAUUAUUUAAAAUGAAAAUAAAUGAAAUAAUUUCUGAGAUAUUCACUAGGCCACCAAUAUAAUUUCUUAAAUCUCUUGGUAAAGUAUAUACUAAUGUGAAAAUGGUUAGAAAGAUUCUUAGGUGUUUAUCAAGAAAUUAGAGACCAAAAGUGACCGUAAUAUAAAGAGCAAAAGAUCUCACCAAGAUGGGUCUUGACGAAUUGCUUGGGUCAUGACACAUAAGAUUACAUUAAAAAGCAAUGAGGAGAUAUGUGAAAGCAAAAAGAAAAAAGAAAAAUUGCGUUCAAGGCUUCAUCAUCACAUAUAAAUGAAGCAGUAUAUGAUGAUGAAGAAAGUGACGAGGAAAUAGCUUUUUCACUAGCCGAUUCAAUAAAAUGUUCAAGAAUAACCAAUUUCUUCAAAGACAAGGUAGAAGAAAUUUCGGUAAAGAAGAAGAAUUAAAAAAGGAACCAUUAUUUGCUUUGAAUGCAAUAAGCCGAGACACAUAAAAGUUGACUGUACAAAAUUAAGAAAGGAUAAGAAGAGCUCUAAAUAAAAAUUCGAAGAGUUUAAAAAGGCAUUUGCAGCUUGGGGAGAAAUUGACGUUGACACAUCCGAUAAUGAGACAAACGAUCAAGAAGUGACAAAUCUGUGUCUUGUUGCCAAAGGAGAAGAAGUACAUCUUGAAUCCAACUCAUUUGAUGAACUACAAGAUGUUUAUGAUGAAUUAUAUGAGGAAUUAUUGAAAAUGACAAAAAAAAAUUGUAUGCUAAGAAAACAAGUUUCUUCACUUACUAUUGAAAUUGAUAAUUCAAAGAAGCAUGUUAAUGAAUUAAAAAUUAAAAAUGAUGAGCUUAAUGCUGAAAUUUUAGAUUUGACUGUAUGCCUUCAAAAAUUCACAAAAGGGCAAAAGAAUUUAGAUUUAUUUUUUAGAUCACAAAAAUGUGUAUAUGAUCGUGCGAGAAUCGGAUACAAUACUUCAAAGAAACAAAAUCUAUACAAAAAUAUUUUUGUAAAAUCAUCUCUUUUCACAACACAAAAAAUCCUAUGCACAUUUGUUAAUACCGAGGGACAUACCACAUAUUCAUGCUAUGUAAAAAAAUAUGUUAAAAGAUGAUUAAUUUGUGUCCCAAAGAAAAAUACCACUAAAACACAAGGACGCAAUAAAAUUUGGAUACCAAAGACCAGUGGUUAAUCUUUGUAUGUAGGUGUGCUUAAAUGCAAAAUCAAAUAAAGGAAGAUAGUACUAGGAUAGCAGAUGCUUAAGACAUAUGACUGGAGACAAAUCCAUGUUUGCAUCUCUAUCUAUAAAGAUGACAGUUGUGUGACAUUCAAAGAAAAUAGUAAAGACAAGAUCAUCGGUAUAGGUAAUGUUGGUAAGGAAUUUGAUUAAAAUAUAAUUUAUUUAGCGUAAGUCAAUUGUGUGAUCGAGAAAAAAUAGUUAUAUUUAAUAAUGCAAACUGAACCAUAUAAAGCAUCAAGACAACAAAAUAUUAUUCAUUAGUCAAAGAGUCAAAAAUGUUUAUAUUUUUACAAUUGAUGAUGUUGCAUCAACCAAUAGAACUUGUCUUGUGGCUAUAAAUGACAAUGAUUGGUUAUAGGAUAGGAGACUUGGACAUGCCCACAUAAAUCUUAUUUUAAAAUUUAUCAAAAAGAUUUGAUAAUUGGAUUAUAAAAAAUAUCAUUUGAAAGAGAUAGGUUAUAUGGAGCAUGCCAAUAAGGGAAACAAAUAAAAAUAUUCUUAAAUUAAAUAACAUCGUUUCCACUUCUAGACCACUACAAUUUUUACACAUGAAUCUAAUAGGUACCUAAAAAUUAAUGGGUCUUGGAGAAAAAUUAUACAUUCUUGUAGUUGUUGAUGAUUUUUCAUGAUUUACAUGAGUAAUAUUUUUAGCCCAUAAAAAUGAAGUGUUUUUCUCAUUUAUAAAAUUAUGUCGACGACUUCAAAAUGAUAAAGGACUCAUUAUUUCAAAUAUUAGAACCGACCAUGGUAGAGAACAUGAAAAUGAGUCUUUAACUAAAUAUUGUGAUGAGUUAAGAAUUUGGCAUAAUUUCUCGACCCCUAGAAACCCUCAACAAAAUGGAGUUGAGAGAAAAAAUAGAACUCUAUAAGAGAUGGCAAGAAUCAUGCUUUGCGAAAACUCUCUUGCAAAGUACUUUUGGGCCGAAUCGGUGAAUGCGGUGUAUUUUAUCAUAAGCCGAGCUAUAAUUAGACCAAUACUAAAAAAAAACCCUUAUGAACUAUGGAAAGGAAGAAAACCAAACAUAGGUUUCUUUCAUGAUUUUGGGUACAAAUGCUAUGCAUUGAACAAUGACAAAGAUAAUUUAGACAAAAUUUGAUUCAAAAUCAGACAAAACUAUUUUCUUAGGAUAUUCAACUACAAGCAAAGCAUUUCGUGUUUUCAAUAAAUGAAAUUUAGUAGUUGAAUAAUAUGUACAUAUUGUAUUUGAUGAAUUUAACGAUCUACCUCUGAAAGAUAUCUCAAUAAAUGUAGGAAUUAAAAAAAUAUGAAAAAUAUUAAAAUAUCUCAAAAAAGUCAAGAGACUGAAGGAGAAGCUAACCGAAUUGUCGACCGAAGUAUGUAAAACCAAAACAGAGCAAUAGAAAGAGUCACUGAUUUUGAAGAACAAAGACGGCUGAAGUUCAAGUUCGGUCGACUGAAAGUAGAAAAGCCCUCAACAAAAGUUCAAAACCUCUCAGCAGAAAGAACAAGCAAGCCUCUGGAAUUCUAGUUCAACAAUGACUGAAGUUCAAGUUUGGUCGACUAAAGUUGUCUGAAGUUUGAAAAAUUAAUCCUGCAAGUCCAAAUCAAGAUCCAAUGGAUAGGAUUCAAUCAGAACGGCUAUAAAAGAUGCAUUUAAUGCUGCAAUGAUUGUAAUAUAUUUUU
rnacentral:lncRNA from 1 species